AGUAAAGUCAGCUAACCAAGCUUUUGGGCCCAUACCCCAAACAUGUCGAUGAAACUUCUCCCUUUACUA
rnacentral:tRNA from 1 species